rnacentral:lncRNA from 1 species
GUGCGCAUGUAAUCCCAGCUACUUGGGAGGCUAAGGCAGGAGAAUCGCUUGCACCCGGGAUGCAGAGGUUGUGGUGAGCUAAGAUCGUGCCAUUGCACUCCAGCCUGGGUAACAAGAGCGAAACUCCAUCUCAAAAAAAAAAGAAAAAGAAAAGAGGAAAGUCCUUUGCCCACUGUAUUCCCUCAGUUUCAGUUCAGUUAUUAAUCCAAUGAGUCCAUUGGAAUGAAAACUCUCAGCUCCUUUCAAAAUUUAUGCUUCUCUGCUCCCCAGUUAGCACUGCCUCAGGCUAAGCUCCAGCAAUGAGAAAGGGAAAGGAGCUUUGGGUUGCUUUAUUCUUAUUCUCUAUUAUUUUAUUAUUAUUUUUUGAUACAGGGCCUUGCUCUGUCACCCAGUCCAGAGUGCAGUGGUGUGACUUUAGCUCACUGCAACCUCUGCCUCCCAAACUCAAGCCAACUUCCCACCUCAGCAUCCUACAGGCUACGCCACCACACCCAGUAAAAGCGAGAGGAGCAAGUUUGGAAUUAACCAUGAGCACUGACCUAAAUGAUCCGCAUAUGGGAGAUGAAUGCCUUCUGCAGCAUGGUGCAAUAUUAUACAGAGAUCGUCUUGCUGCUUUGCCCAGACUGGCCUCAAACUUCUGGGCUCAAGCGAUCCCCUUACUCAGCCUACCGAGUAGCUGCGACUACAGGCAUUCUCCACUGUACCUGACUGAAGUCUAAAAUUUUGAAUCAAGUCUAAGCAGCAUUUACUUAUGAUGGCAGAAUAAAGAUAUUUUCAGACAUAGAAAAUCUUUCCAUCUCCACUUGGUUUACUGCCACCUGAUCUCUCUGCUUCUGGUCUUGUCUCAGUGCAUACUUUCUCCACUUUGCAGCUGGAUGAUCUUUUUGUCAGGCAAAUUGCAUCAUUAACUCCUCAAGGAAUUUAUUUUCCACACUCAGCUCCAGUCAAUCUUUUUUCCCACCAGCUACUUCUAGUUACACGUGAGCCCUUCCUCCUCCACCCUUUCUCUCAGGGUUAUGGUCUCUGAGUCCCUAGAAUGUACCAUAGUCCAUUCUGAUUCCCUCUGCAAAAGAUUCUCUUCUAGCUCAUUCUUCAUCUUCCUUCAGGUCUUAGUCUUGACGUUAUUUUCACAGAAAAGUAUUCCACGGACCCCCACUCCCAUUCCCAUCGCUCCAUCAGAUUAGGUUUGACUCCUUUGUUAGUGACCCUAAUAGCACCUGUGCUUUUACUUAUAAUUAAAGUAAUUGUAUUAUACAGCUAUGAUUU